CAGUCGCCGCGGGAAUACGUAGGGCGCAAGCGUUAUCCGGAAUUAUUGGGCGUAAAGAGCUCGUAGGCGGUUUGUCGCGUCUGCCGUGAAAGUCCGGGGCUCAACCCCGGAUCUGCGGUGGGUACGGGCAGACUAGAGUGAUGUAGGGGAGACUGGAAUUCCUGGUGUAGCGGUGAAAUGCGCAGAUAUCAGGAGGAACACCGAUGGCGAAGGCAGGUCUCUGGGCAUUAACUGACGCUGAUGCACGAAAGCUAGGGGAGCAAACAGGAUUAGAUACCCCCGUAGUCCCUGUCUCUUAUAC
rnacentral:rRNA from 1 species